AGAAGGCUUCUGUUGAAAAGAGCAUUUGAGAAAAAGGUGACUUCAAGCUCCACUUGCGAGCUCCAUGCGCCGCACACGACUGCAAAAUAUGACUGAGGUGUUCACAGCAGCGUAUGCUAUCCGCAGACUGCGUUUUCUCACCAAGCCCGAAGGGUAGUUCAGGACCCCGUUAAAUAAAUUUUCACACUACUACUGC
rnacentral:lncRNA from 1 species